rnacentral:sRNA from 1 species
GCUGGGUGUGGUGGUGCACGCCUGUAAUCCCAGUGGCUCUGGAGGCUGAGGCAGGAGGAUCGAGAGUUCAAAAGCCAGCUUCAGCCAAAUCAAGGCGCUGAGCAACUCGGUGAGACCCUGUCUCUA